GCUGUGGUGGUCUAGUGGUAUGACGUCCGCUUCACAUGGCGAAAAACCAUGAUAGCUCGCUGAAGGUCCCGGGUUCGAUCCCCGGUCGCAGUA